rnacentral:rRNA from 1 species
CGCUGGCGGCGUGCUUAACACCUGCAAGUCGAACGGCAAGGCCCUGCUUUUGUGGGGUGCUCGAGUGGCGAACGGGUGAGUAACACGUGAGUAACCUGCCCUUGACUUUGGGAUAACUUCAGGAAACUGGGGCUAAUACCGGAUAGGAGCUCCUGCUGCAUGGUGGGGGUUGGAAAGUUUCGGCGGUUGGGGAUGGACUCGCGGCUUAUCAGCUUGUUGGUGGGGUAGUGGCUUACCAAGGCUUUGACGGGUAGCCGGCCUGAGAGGGUGACCGGCCACAUUGGGACUGAGAUACGGCCCAGACUCCUACGGGAGGCAGCAGUGGGGAAUAUUGCACAAUGGGCGGAAGCCUGAUGCAGCAACGCCGCGUGCGGGAUGACGGCCUUCGGGUUGUAAACCGCUUUCGCCUGUGACGAAGCGUGAGUGACGGUAAUGGGUAAAGAAGCACCGGCUAACUACGUG